rnacentral:lncRNA from 1 species
AUGUGGGACAAGGAGGAAGAUGAAAUGGGUAAGCUAAAAGAUGAGAAUGAGAUUCUCCAAGAGACCCUGAGACGAUGUACAAUACUAUUGGAGUCAGCUAUAUUCAAGCUUGAGGCUUCUAAGAAGAAGAGACAGCAAAAGGAAAAAAAGGAGGAAGAGACAUCGACUGAAUCAGAGGAUGAGAAACAGUGUUUCAAGGAUAAGAUGCAAAACUAUCUAUUGAAAAGGGACUCAUGUACAAGAAAACUCAGUUUUGCCGAGAAGACUGCACAGGAAGCAGAAAGUGAGGAAGAUGAAAUGUGUAAGCUAAAGGAAGAGAAUGAGAUUCUCCAAGAGGCCCUGAGACUAUGUACAAUACAGUUGGAGUCAGCUAAAAUCAAGCUUGAGGCUGCUGAGAAGGAGAGAGAGCAAAAGGGAAAAGAGGUAAGCAUAGCAAAGAAUUAA